CCUGCCGCAGUGCUCACGUGAUGGCGCAGCGCCCCCGCGCUUUUCGGCUUCUCCGACAUCGAAACAAACGCCGGGGGCCGACAAGUGAACCCAUCGUUAAUACGAGGACCAUAACCGCUGCUUACGUUAGGUUUGUUGAAUAAGUUCAUAAACUCAUCAACAAAAUCAAGUGCAUCAACAAAAGGAACAUCAUGUUCGAAGGCGUUGUAGCAUACGCACUGAAUAAAUACCUGGGACGUUUUGUGGAAGAUUUGGACAGCGAACAACUGAAUGUUGGAAUUUUUAGCGGAACUGUCCACUCGACCGUCCUGCAUCUCAAGGCGGAAGCUCUGACCGGCUGGAUCUUCCCGUCGAAGUGAAAGGAGGCUGCAUGGGUAAGAUUUCUAUCGAUAUACAUAGGACGUCAUUAUAUUACGAGCCUGUACUCGUGCACGUGGAAGAAGUGUUGAUUUUGGCAGGACCCAUAGUUGACCGGAAGUACGAUCCUGAAAAGGAGAAACGAUUAUGCAGGGCUCUCAGGAGCAGGAGACUCGAGGACGCCCAGCCGCCAGACCCAGACGGUCCAGGUGUUUCUGCCAGCAUUUCUUAAAUAUUGAUUCCAGCUAUCAUAUUAUUCUUAUUUUUAGAUACAAACGAAAAAUAAAUUGAGGUACUUACGUAUUAUCACAACCAUCUUAGUAGAAAACGCCAAAUUUUCACGCUCUAGCAGCCAUGCGCAUAAGUACACUUCAGAAAACCAUGCCUUCUUUUUAUUGUAGUUCAAGUUUCGACGGUUUUCAAUUUCGAAGGAACUAUCGAUUUCGACGAGUUUCGAAUGCAAAUUUCGACCAGUACCGAGUAUAAAUUUCGUCUAGUUUCAAGCCAAAUUUCGACGAGUUUCGAGUCCAAAUUUCGACGGGUUUCGAGUCCGAAUUUCGAGGAGUUUCGAGUCCAAAUUUCAGCGAGUUUCAAGCCAAAUUUCGACGUGUUUCGAGUCCGAAUUUCGAAUGCCUUAUGCUCUGUAUUAGUUUUCCGCGAAUAUUUCGAAAGCGGUUAAGAAAUCGGCCGAAGCAGAUGGUGAUUUUCCGAAUAAGUAAAUAAAUAAAUAAAAAUAACUGGUAGUAAAACAAAUAUUAGUUGUUCUAACUCUGUUAGAUUACUGUUAAGAUCGUAUUAAUUUUCUCCUUAGAAGAACGAACAAUUUUCCAGAAGAGUGUAGAAUCUUAAUAGCAGAAUUCGAAUUUGCUCUUUAUCAGCUUUUCGCGAAAACUUCGAAAAAAAAAAAAAAGUUCUCCGUCCUCUUAAAUGAAGCCUCUUCACUCUGCGUAAAGCCCGGACAAAGCCGCGUAAUUCAGCUAAUUAGUAAUAAAUUUUCGUUCGUGAGCGUUUUAAAAGAACAAAUGCUGUUAAGCAAUACAACCGUACGCGGAACCAUUCGACGAAUCAUCAAUUAUAGUUUCACGUUUCCGGAUAUACGCUUUAUUGCACUACAUAAUGACACCAAAUUAUUUCCCGACUCGUUUUCUCAGAUAUAUUUCGCUUGAAAGUUAGGUUAUUUAAAUUGGCAGCUUAAAUAGUUGUUUAGCAUUCAAGCACGCGGAACUUAUAUCAGGAAAAGAUGAAUUUUUUUAACAGUUUUUGUUAAAAAUAUAUAAGAGUGUAGGAAAUAAUAAAAAAAUAAAUUCUGAAAGAUUUCAGAUUUUACAUUACGCCCAAAGGGGCGUUUU